ACACACACACGCACACACUUGGAAACUCUUCAGGAACUGAAAACCAGGUAUCUAUGUACUAGGUGGGCUAUAAUGUUGAUGUCCAGCUGGGACUCUCAGGCCCACUUCAGAGCGGAAUCACAGCCAAGGACCAGCCUCCUUUGAUGUUGCCGUGCCACCCCGUCUUCCCUAAGUUCCUGUUGAGAGGAUGAGGGCGGCAGCAGCAUCUUGCAGCCUUGGUUCUGGUUAGGGCUACACUGGCAGGCAUCAGUGCCCUCUCCCUGUCAAAGAUAUUAUUGAUUGUUCCCCAACCAGGGAUCCAACCUGGGCCCUGGCAGUGAAAGCACCGAGUCCUAACCACUAGACUGCCAGGAAAUUCCCAUCCCUGUCAAAGAUCUUUAACUGGGGCAGGGGCAGGGCCACAGGAGGCAGCUGGGGUUAGUAAUCUAGAAAGGCUCCUUGAAACAGCCUUGAGUCUUCAAUAUUGACAUCUUCAAGCCAAGAGAGGCAGAGUUGAACCUUCCUAACCAGAAAAGUCCCUUGUUGGCCCACUGAGUCCUGCCCGCCUCCCCUCAGCUGCUCUUCCCAGGGGCAGUUCUUGAAGGCAAUAAGGAAAUGACAAUGCCAAAGACGGGCCCAGUUUAUCCUGAGAUUUUUGGUCUCUCUCAUCUCUCCAUACCUGCACCUGGCUCUCCUUGAGAAUAACCCCCAGGCCUAGGGCAAAAAACACCUCUUGAGCGAUUCACGUGCAGCCCAGGAAGCAAGUGGGAAGGAAUGACUUCUGUCGUGACCUUCUGAGACGCCGUGUGGAGUCCUUUGAGAGAACUAGAAUGGUGCUGGCGUGGGGACCCAAGCUCAUGGCCAAUGAGGCAGGAAACUUGUGAUCCAUGGAGGAUGGCAACACAGGCUGAAGAUUUUCAGUGUCCUUGCUGCUGUACACAUCUGCAGUCCUUGAAUGCACAGUCAUGGUGGAAAGUGGUUGACAUGUGGAAGGCCUAGCACUACUAUCCCAGGUGCCUGUAUUUGGCCUCCAGGCUUCUGUUCUCCUUGUGCUGGAGCAUCAAGGCCUUGUUGAGGUUCUCGACCACAGCAGACAUGUACCUGAUGGCCCGAACCUCCCCCUGGUUGAACAUCGUGGAGUCCAGGAGUUCCUGCAGCAUGGACUUCACCUCAGAGACCCUUAUGCAGCCUUGUUCCCCAGAACCUGCACGAGGCCACAGCUCCAGGGACCACCAACGAGGACCUGUCUCCACAUCACACCUUCCUUCAGCCCUGAGGGACAGCCCAGAACUGCUCACUUCUCAGCUUGGGUCCACCACCCCAACCUCUUACCACUGACCAUCCAUCUCAGCUAAAGCUUUUGUUAUGGAGGAGAAUCAGAAAGACUCCCACAGACCCUGGUGUGUGACUUCUUUCCUUGAGAUGGCAUCUGCCCCACCCAGCUCCCCUGCCAGGUGCUCCUGGAACCUACUUU